rnacentral:rRNA from 1 species
AGGGUGCGAGCGUUGUCCGGAAUUAUUGGGCGUAAAGAGCUCGUAGGCGGCUUGUCGCGUCUGCUGUGAAAUCCUGAGGUUCAACCUUGGGCGUGCAGUGGGUACGGGCAGGCUAGAGUGCGGUAGGGGAGAUUGGAAUUCCUGGUGUAGCGGUGGAAUGCGCAGAUAUCAGGAGGAACACCGAUGGCGAAGGCAGAUCUCUGGGCCGCUACUGACGCUGAGGAGCGAAAGCAUGGGGAGCGA